ACAGCAGCGUCUGGGAGAGCUGGGUUGGGGGUCGGGGGAAUGCGGAGGGGGGUGAUGGGGCAGGGCGGACGGUCGGAGGACGCGGGUCACAGAGGACAAGGAAAAUCAGGAACUUUGAAAGGUUUGGGAUUUCUCUGGACAGAAGUCUUAAGUAGAACUGGCUUACAAGUUUAUUCAACGGAAACCAAUACGACAAUAAGCGAUGCCUACAGCGGAAACAAAACCCUUGGUGCUAGAACCUCACAGCCACACCAGACUGUGUGAUCACACUCACCUGUCUACCUGCUCCACGCUUCUGUCAGACUGCUCCCUGCCUCUGACUCACCUGUGCCUUCUUACCUGCAAGACUCACUCCUCCCUGGACCCUCCACAGUCACACUGCCCUGCCACACAUGGUCUACCAAACCCUCAGUCCUCUGAAGCCUGCUGCCUUCCAGUCUCCAUCAGCCUCUUUAACAAUAAACACUGUUCUAAUUGUCUGCAGGUGUGAGAGUUCUGUUCUUUGAGUCCACAAGAAAAACACACCAGUUGUUACAGAACAUUCUGGCCAACAAUGGGUCCAGCAGAACCUCCCCCUCCUCUUCAGGAGAAUGACACUGCACUGCUCUCAGCCCAGGCUCACCUGUUGCUCCGGAUCUUGAUUAAACCUGUAAGCACCAGUCCCAGCAGGCAAUGGCCCUAUGGGGCAGCUUCUUACUUGCGAGUGACUAUAUGACAGAGACGGUGCCGUAAAAAAAACAGGAAGAGGGGAACGACAGAGCUGGGGAGCAAGAGCUACACUCUGGCCUGAGAUGAAUG